UGUGGAAAUUUUAUAGGCAAAGUGCUCAUUUCUUCCUCCACUCGGUGCCUUUUUUUUUUUUUUUGGUGGGUAGGUGGUCAGGCUUCGGUCUGCGCAUGCGCGCAGGGCAGCGUUGGUCGCUCUUUAGCAGAAGACUCGACACUGUCAAGGUAACGCGCACGCUGGGGACAGUUCUGAGAUUUACAAACAGCUGAACCUGUCUCGCGCACCGUUAUUCACGUCAAUCGCUGGCAGAAAAUAGCCGCCGAGCGAUUAAUGCGAUGUAACAACACAGAGGGACGGCAAAUACGGACCGCUACCAGAGAGACGCCGCGCUAGCGCUUGAUAAACACAGGUUUCAUCUAUCUCCAUUCAGCCCACAGCCUUAUUUCACUCUCCAGUUAAUCCGCUGCCUCCGUCUCUCCAAACACCCCAGUUUCUUUCGUCUGUUAGCCUGCCCCAUUUACACAGAUGAAGGACCCGUCCAUAUCCUAAAAAAGCGAAUGGAACUCCAGAUACAAAGCAGGUCUCAGAUCAGAGCAGACCGCAAAGCACUCAUCCCAGGGAGUGACCCCUUUUGCUCCAGGUCUUAUCCAGCUAGGGGUUCAUGCACUGGGGCACAGGGACUCCAGGUCACAUGGUCGCCUGAGUGAUUUGUCCUGAUUGUGCUGAAUGCAGCACAUUUAAUUGUGUGUGACGGAGUGAGAAGAGUUCAUGGGAGAGAGACAGAAAAAGUGUUACUAACCCUCAAGCCCAUCCCAGUUUAUGCUAUAUGCUCUCAUUUAAUGCUAAAGUUUUGGCUUUUCUUAAACCAGAGGGACCCAUAUGUAACAAAUUUUAUCAUGUCACAUUAAAGCUGUAUCAUUCAUGACAGAAAAGAAUCUUUUUUUUGUUUGCAAAUGGCAUAUCUGCAUUUGCAUUCAAAAAUGCAUUCAAAAGCAGAUUCACAAGAACUGGUCCACAUGAUGAGGGCAGAACUUUUAUUUAUUGACAUUGAGGGUCUUUAGUCUGUUUGAAGCAGGAUUAACUAAAAUUAUUAAAAACGUGUUUUAGGGCUG
rnacentral:lncRNA from 1 species